CCUACGGGGGACAGCAGUGGGGAAUUUUGCGCAAUGCUCGUAAGAGUGACUCAGCGACGCCGCGUUAAUUACGAAGGCCUUCGAGUCGUAAAGUUCUUUCGACAGGGAAGAAAAUGCCUAUAAGUAACUGUGUAUGUAUUUACGGUACCUGACUAAGCAUCCCCGGCUAACUCCGUGCCAGCAGCCGCUGUAAUACGGAGGGGGCGAGCGUUGUUCGGCGUGACUGGACGUAAAGAGCACGUAGGCGGUGUUGUAAGUAAUUAGGCAAAGACUAGAGCUCAACUUUAGUAAGGAUAGUGAUAAUAUAAUACUAGAGUAUCAGAGAGGAUGGCAGAAUUCCUGGUGUAGCGGUGAAAUGCGUAGAUAUCAGGAGGAAUACCGUUAGCGAAGGCGGCAAUCUGGCUGGAAACUGACGCUGAGGUGCGAAAGCGUGGGUAGCAAACAGGAUUAGAUACCCCGGUAGUC
rnacentral:rRNA from 1 species